rnacentral:lncRNA from 1 species
UUUUUUUUUCUGGUUCGCCGGGAUGCCCAUUUUUUCCUGGACUAUUUUAUUCUUUUCGUCCAGCGGGUCUCUUAUACGAAGUAUUUUUUAACUGCAUCCGCAUUCACAGGGGAUGGAAAAUUCUCACCAUCCAUGGUCGUCAACAACAAGGCUCCGCCAGAGAAAACCUUCUUGACCACGAAUGGACCUUCAUAAUUGGGUGCCCACUUGCCCCGACGAUCGUUCUAAGGAGGAAG